CUACUACUCCCUCCGUCCGGAAUACUUGUCAUCAAAAUGGAUAAAAGGAGAUGUAUCUAGAUGUAUUUUAGUUCUAGAUACAUUCCUUUUUGUCCAUUUCGAUGACAAGUAUUUUUGGACGGAGAGAGUACUAG
rnacentral:pre_miRNA from 1 species